CAGUAGCCACGGGAAUACGUAGGUGGCAAGCGUUGUCCGGAAUUAUUGGGCGUAAAGGGCUCGCAGGCGGUUUCUUAAGUCUGAUGUGAAAGCCCCCGGCUCAACCGGGGAGGGUCAUUGGAAACUGGGAGACUUGAGUGCAGAAGAGGAGAGUGGAAUUCCACGUGUAGCGGUGAAAUGCGUAGAGAUGUGGAGGAGCACCAGCGGCGAAGGCGACUCUCUGGUCUGUAACUGACGCUGAGGAGCGAAAGCGUGGGGAGCGAACAGGAUUAGAGACCCCCGUAGUCCCUGUCUCUUAUAC
rnacentral:rRNA from 1 species